UACGUAGGGCGCGAGCGUUGUCCGGAAUUAUUGGGAGUAAAGAGCUCGUAGGCGGUCUGUUGCGUCCGCUGUGAAAACCCGGGGCUUAACCCUGGGCUGGCAGUGGAUACGGACAGACUAGAGGUAGGUAGGGGAGAAUGGAAUUCCCGGUGUAGCGGUGAAAUGCGCAGAUAUCGGGAGGAACACCGGUGGCGAAGGCGGUUCUCUGGGCCUUACCUGACGCUGAGGAGCGAAAGCGUGGGGAGCGAACAGG
rnacentral:rRNA from 1 species